rnacentral:rRNA from 1 species
UCCUCCCUCUUUCUUCGUGCCUAAUACAUGCAAGUCGAACGCUUCUUUCCUCCCGAGUGCUUGCACUCCAUUGGAAAGAGGAGUGGCGGACGGGUGAGUAACACGUGGGUAACCUACCCAUCAGAGGGGGAUAACACUUGGAAACAGGUGCUAAUACCGCAUAACAGUUUAUGCCGCAUGGCAUAAGAGUGAAAGGCGCUUUCGGGUGUCGCUGAUGGAUGGACCCGCGGUGCAUUAGCUAGUUGGUGAGGUAACGGCUCACCAAGGCCACGAUGCAUAGCCAACCUGAGAGGGUGAUCGGCCACACUGGGACUGAGACACGGCCCAGACUCCUACGGGAGGCAGCAGUAGGGAAUCUUCGGCAAUGGACGAAAGUCUGACCGAGCAACGCCGCGUGAGUGAAGAAGGUUUUCGGAUCGUAAAACUCUGUUGUUAGAGAAGAACAAGGACGUUAGUAACUGAACGUCCCCUGACGGUAUCUAACCAGAAAGCCACGGCUAACUACGUG